rnacentral:rRNA from 1 species
UACGUAGGGGGCAAGCGUUGUCCGGAAUGAUUGGGCGUAAAGGGCGUGUAGGCGGCGAUUUAAGUCUGGAGUGAAAGUCCUGCUUUUAAGGUGGGAAUUGCUUUGGAUACUGGAUGGCUAGAGUGCAGGAGAGGUUAGUGGAAUUCCCAGUGUAGCGGUGAAAUGCGUAGAGAUUGGGAGGAACACCAGUGGCGAAGGCGACUAACUGGACUGUAACUGACGCUGAGGCGCGAAAGUGUGGGGAGCAAACAGG